UCGCCUGUUUAACAAAAACAUGUCCUUUUGUUAAUUUAUUUAAGGUCUAACCUGCCCUAUGAUUUAUUAAAUGGCCGCGGUAUACUAACCGUGCAAAGGUAGCAUAAUCACUUGUCUUUUAAUUGAAGGCUAGAAUGAAUGGUUGGACGAGAUAUAUACUUUCUUUAUUGUACUUGCUUAAUUUUAUUUUUAAGUUAAAAAGCUUAAAUUUUUUUAUAGGACGAGAAGACCCUAUAGAAUUUUAUGUUUAUGAAUUUUUUUACUUUUGGCUAAUUUUUGUUUUAAAAUUUUAGGCAUUUUGUUGGGGCGACAGGAAAAUUUAUUUAACUUUUUUUUAUAAAUUUCAUUGAUUUAUGUUUUUGUGAUCCAUUUUUAGUGAUUAAAAGAUUAAAUUACCUUAGGGAUAACAGCGUUAUUCUUUUGGAGAGUUCUUAUCGAUAAAGGAGUUUGCGACCUCGAUGUGGAUUAAAA
rnacentral:rRNA from 1 species